AAGUCGUAACAAGGUUUCCGUAGGUGAACCUGCGGAAGGAUCAUUAGAAUGUUUUUAUUUAUGUCGAGAGUUGUCUGUGGGGGUUUUACACCAACAUUAUUCUACUGGGAAAUAGUGCUUAAAAGGAAACAUUAAAAACACACAACUUUUAGCAACGGAUCUCUUGGCUCUC
rnacentral:misc_RNA from 1 species